UAGGGAAUCUUCGGCAAUGGACGAAAGUCUGACCGAGCAACGCCGCGUGAGUGAAGAAGGUUUUCGGAUCGUAAAACUCUGUUGGUAGAGAAGAACGUUGGCGAGAGUAACUGUUCAAUGUGUGACGGUAUCUAACCAGAAAGGGACGGCUAACUACGUGCCAG
rnacentral:rRNA from 1 species